rnacentral:tRNA from 1 species
GGUUGUGGCUCAGUGGUAGAGCACUUGCCUAGGAUGCGUGAGGCACUGGGUUUAAUCCCCGACACCA